UGAGUCUAUGAUCAUGUUCCUCAAUUGUUUCACCCCAGACUAGGAUAUCGUCCAUGACAUUAAUCACGCCUUCCAGGCCUUCAAUCAUCUGUGCAAUUGUCCUUUGGAAAACUUCAGAAGCCGAUGACACCCCAAAAGGAAGACGAAGAAAUCUGUAUCUCCCAAUUGGCGUGUUAAAUGUACAAAGCUUUGAGCUCUCAUCAUCAAGUUUGAUCUGCCAAAAUCCUUGAUUUGCGUCAAGCACAGAGAAUAUCUUUGCAUUUGGCAUGCUGGAAACCACCUCUUCCACUGUGCGUAAUGGGUAGUGUUCGCGUUUAAUUACUUUGUUUAGGUCUUGCGGAUCAAUACAUAUCCUAAUCUUUUGUGGUUUCACCACUGUGACCAUACUGUUUACCCAAUCAGUUGGCUCUGACUGUCUGGCAAUUACACCCAUUUGUUCCAUUUUGUGCAGUUUCUUUCAGUGCGAGUGGAACUUUUCUUGGAGGAUGUAUAACUGGUGUGGCUUUGGGAUCAAUCUGAAUGUGGUAAUGUCCUGGUAAACAUCAAAGACCAGUAAAUAAAUCCUCAAAAUCUUUCAAUAGAUGAGCUUUAGCUUUCCCAACGGCGACAUCUGGUGGCCAGAAUAGUUCUGUGACAUAUGCGUCGAUACUUUCACUUGGACCCUGAGCUCUCGUGAAGAACAAAUGGCGAAUGUCCGGUAGAGGGAAAUAACAGGCUCGCUGUGAACGCUCGUCCUGCAUUGACUCGCUUCAUCUCGACGAGAGCAAUAAAGAUGUCUGGCAGAGGAAAGGGCGGCUUUGAUCAGUAAUCCUCUUCAAACACGUGAAAGUUUUGGCCGCAGCACCUUACGGUGUUUGCGGCCGCUAAGUACAAACAUUUGAAAGUAUGGCUUCCAGUAUGUCUUUUCGAGAGUCAUAUAAUAACCGUUUUCUCAAAUACUGGGCGAAAAUCUCCUUCAUAGGAUCUGGAUCUGCUCCAAGCAGAGAUGAGGUGGCAGAAAAGCUUUUUAUGUCCCAGUCGGUGAGUGGGGAAGACAUUUUCUCCUUCAUCAGCCUUCCAAACCGGAAAGACUUUGAACUUUGUUUUCGUAACGAAAGAUCAUUACGAGUUUUCAUGAACAUUUACAAUUCAAACAAAGAACAAUGGAGAGAUUUCGAAAUAUUCUCACCUUUGCAGUUUGACAUAAAAACAGUGAUUGUGAAAUUUUGGACAGGAAGAAUUCCAGAUGAAGAUGUGGAGCUGUAUUUACGUCGCUUCUGUGACAUUGUAAAACCAGCCAUUAAGCCUGUGGAUCGGUUCGGCAUUUGGUAUGGGAUUAGGAAAUAUCAAGUGAGAAUUAAGAAAGACCUCAACAACCAAGACAUAGGGAUUCCAAACAACAUCUCACUGGGUCCGUACAAUGGGAAAAUUAUCUACCAAGGCCAAAUUUCCAGAUGUUAUACAUGUCAAGCGACUGAUCACAUUGCUAAAGAAUGUAAGGAGGUGAAAUGUUGGCAAUGUAGCAGUUUUGGACAUAAAGCCAAAGAUUGUAACAACACUGCAAUUUGUAAUUUAUGUGGAACUGUGGGUUACACUUUCUUUAUGUGCCCUAACUCUUAUGCUAACCGUUCUAAGACAAGCUUUGGCACAGAAGUAAAGGAAAACCUUUUUGAAAGUGUACAACCGUUAUCAACGACUGAGGCUGGGGAAAAAAAUAUUCCACCUGAAGCCAAUUCUAGUAAUGAACCUGAAUUAUCACAGACAAAGGAUAAACAACAAAAUGAAAUGGAUCAAACUGAAAGCCUUUUUAUUAGUACAACUUUGGAGGAAAAUGGGACUGUUACAGAAUGUAAAAAUGUUGAAGAUUUAAAGCAAACUGGUAAUAACGACAGCAGUGAAACAUCAUCAACAGAGGACAGCAGCAGUGGUUCAUCCAGCAGUGACGAUUCAUCUACAACUGAGUCUGGAGAGGAGUCAACUAAAGGUUCAGCAUCGGAGUCGUGCAACAUUGCUUUAGAAAUCUCACUUAUCUCUAAUGAAGGAACUGAGGAUAUACGCCAGGACAACACGUCUGCUUCCAAGGAACUGAAAGAGAAACGCAAUUCUUCAUUAAAUCCUCAUGUGCGAAAAGAGGAACUUCACCGAAACAAGAAGGGUCGAAGUAUGGAGCACACAAGAUAUAUCCUUUAUUUGUCAUAUAUACAUAUACAGAUGUACAGUACAAUGCACAGGAACAAAGACUUCUGAACACCUGACAGACAGCAACGACAAACGGAAAUGGAAUUAUUCAGAAGAGACUGAAGUACAACCUCUGGCAAACAAAAUGGAUGAGCGGAGACUGUGCACCACAACACGUGGGUGAAUGGCGGAGUGUAACAUCAUGAUUCAGACGUGGUUGAACUGUAACAGCGCGGUGGAGCUGGAUGUUCGAAGCAUGUUCAGAGCGGACAGAGUGGCAGUAAACUCCGGCGCUGGUUCCUGAUUCAGGACAACCACCUUAUGUACAAGAAGAAAUCCAGGAAUAGCAUGGUGGUCAUAGCGGAUUUACGCCAGUGCACGGCCAAACACUACCAGACGACUCCAUCACUUCCCGAUCAGAUGAGGUGG